rnacentral:rRNA from 1 species
GUGCCAGCCGCCGCGGUAAUACGGAGGAUCCAAGCGUUAUCCGGAAUCAUUGGGUUUAAAGGGUCCGUAGGCGGUUUAAUAAGUCAGUGGUGAAAGCCCAUCGCUUAACGAUGGAACGGCCAUUGAUACUGUUAGACUUGAAUUAGUGGGAAGUAACUAGAAUAUGUAGUGUAGCGGUGAAAUGCUUAGAUAUUACAUGGAAUACCAAUUGCGAAGGCAGGUUACUAUCACUAUAUUGACGCUGAUGGACGAAAGCGUGGGGAGCGAACAGGAUUAGAUACCCCCGUAGUCC